GUUAAGAUGGCAGAGCCCGGCAAUUGCAAAAGACCUAAGCCCUUUCACCCAGAGGUUCAAGUCCUCUUCUUAGC
rnacentral:tRNA from 1 species